GAGUGAUGCUCAGAACCAGUGGGGAUUUACCCCCUUCAAACUUGCAGCCUUCCAACAGCAUGAGGAGAUGGAGUGCCUUCUGAAAAAAGCAGCUGACAGGCAGGCUCAAGCCCAGGGGGAAAGGACUGUUCUUGUGGUUCCUGGAACCCAUGAGGCUCACCUGGAGGAAGACAAUCUGCGCUUGCAGGAGGAGCUGGACAGGGCUGACGCGGAGCUGCGGGAGGAGGAA